GCCGGGAAUCCCAGCAGCUGGCGAAGCUUCACCAGGGGCCUCCAUGACCAGCACCCCUUGAACAUCCCACUGCUCCGCUGAGUCCGAGUUCCCUCUGUACAGCGAAACUUGUACAGCCCCGGAGGGGAGGCAGUGACGCUGAGAGCACCCAGCCCCGACCCGCAGCAGUGGGGCACCGACAAAGCACCAUGGGCAGCCUGGGCCCGGCCCUGUCCCUGCCCUCAGCUCCUCCCGCCUCCUCCUCCCUGGCUGCCCCUGCACCUGGGUGAGGAGGGGGCAGUCCGGGCUCUGGUACUGGCCACAGGCAGACAGCCCCAGGGCCACAGCGUCGUCCUUUCCUCGGCGCCCAGGGAUAGGACCUAGCCCAGCAGACGUCCCUAGCCCCCUUCUCUCCUCAGCUCACUUUCGUGGCCCGGGACCCUGAGCAGAGGGGCGCCGCCCAGGCCGCGCAGACCGGAGCCCGAGCGUCACGCGCACCGCGCGCACCGCCCGCCUCUGGCCAGGACGCUUAUACAUCCGGAGGGUGGGCAGUGCCCGCUCCUCCGACCUCCCCAGCACAGGCCAGGAGCAGGGAGGGCCGGGGGCGGGGCCUGGACUGGCCGAGGGAGAGGGAGCCCAGGACACGUCGGAGGAACUCAGGCCGCUGGUCGGUCCUGGUCGGUCUGUGCUGUCCCUCACUUGCUACCCACCAUGCAGCCAGCCUGUCGGCCUGGCGGGUGUGUGGGUUGUGUCCUGGGAACCUCCGUUGUACACCUGAGCAGCGGCCUGAAGGCGGAGCCCAGAUGUGGAGUCCGAGGGAGACGUCAGUACAGAGAAGGGAGAAGUGAAAGUGAAAAACCCUGGGGCUGCUGGACACUCCAGGCUGGGACCAGGAGACCAGGCUAGGUGAGAAAAAGUGUGGGAGCAGAAAGGACUGUGGCAUGGACAAACUCUGAUCUGAUCGAGAGCAUGCUGGAAGAGGUCAGGAUCCUCCGCUAGGCUGCUCAGCUGGAGGGGCGCCCCUGCUCCACCCACAGCUGAUACUCACCCAAGUGGUUGCAGAACCUGACUGAACCCACUGUCAAAGCCCAGGGAGUGCCAGAGGGGCCCAAAGGGCCAGAAGUGGAGGCCUGAGCCCCCAGUCCUCCACAGCAUUGCUGCCUUCCACGCCUCCUUCUGUCCUUUUUGGGGGCCGCCCCACAGCUUUCUUCGACACCACUGUAACCCCACCCUUGGUGCCUACCGCCCAGAGGGAGCCCGCGCCCAGUGGCCC
rnacentral:lncRNA from 1 species